AUUGAACGCUGGCGGCAGGCCUAACACAUGCAAGUCGAGCGAGCGGCGGACGGGUGAGUAAUGUAUGGGGACUGCCCGCUAGAGGGGGAUAACUACUGGAAACGGUAGCUAAUACCGCAUCCUAUCGGCUAACCCCUAUGUGAUUAGAUAGUAGGUGAGGUAAUGGCCCACCUAGGAAACGAUCCGUAGCUGGUUUGAGAGGACGACCAGCCACACUGUGACUGAGACACGGCCCAGAAUCCUACGGAGGCAGCAGUGGGGAAUUUUGGACAAUGGGGGAAACCCGGAUCCAGCCAGCCCGCGUGUAUGAUGAAGGCCUUCGGGUUGUAAAGUACUUUUGGCGGAGAAGCGGUAUCUGCAGAAUAAGCACCGGCUAACUACGUGCCAGCAGCCGCGGUAAUAC
rnacentral:rRNA from 1 species